AAAAAGGCACCGGAGAAAAAAGGAUAGAUUUGGCAAAAAGAGCAUAGAAAAAGAGAGACGAAACGAGUAGAUUGAAGGAAAAAAAUACAAAUUUCCACCAUUAAGAAGAAAAACAGAUCACUCAACAAGUCUAAAGAAAAACCAUCAUGAGAUUCAAAAGCAAGUAAAGGAAAGAACUUAUAUUGGAGAAGCAGAGGAGUUAGAGUAUACAAGAAGGAAAGGUGCAUAUACAAGAGAAAAUCUAAAAAAGGGUUAGUAAUCAUGUAUAUCAUCAUCAUUUUUUUUUUCCUUUCAGUAUUCUAAUAUGAUGCAUAUCAUCAAGUUAUACACUGUACAUCCAUGAUAAUGUUUUGCUAUAUAUAUACUUUGUUAGGCUCUAGUUUGUUCUAGAGAGUAGACAAUUUUCAAUAGCUUUUACCCAGUUUCAAAUCAGUUUUUAUACGCAACCCUUAUGCCUUUCCUUAUUAACAAGUAUAAAUUUUUUGCAUCAACCAUGCAUAUCUAAUUAUAAUUAUAAUAAAAAAAUGAAGGAGACUUGACAUAUGGUUUUGAAGUAAAGCUGUGACUGCCUAUGGCCGAGUGAAACAUUGUGCUUAAUAUCAUUCUACCUCAUCCCAAAUAAGCUUCAUAACUUUCUCUCCUUCAAACAUACUCAUUCAUUUUCAUGAUCUCUCAAUCUCUCAACAUAAACAUCAUUCCUACACCAUCCCAUAAAUCCACACACCCUUGUUUAUUUCUUUUAUCAUCUAACAUAACAAAACAACACAACAAAAAAAGAAAACAAUUUCACUUCACCAUUCCCAUCUUCUUUUAAUACCUUCGAGUAACUCCGGCGGGAAUCACCACCACUACCGAGGCUACAUAACUAGGGAGCUCGGCCACUGGAACAUAAGAACCGCUGCCUCUGGACAUUCACGACAGCAAGACCGACGCUGGCGGCUUACCAAAUUUAACGUCACUGAUGAGAACAAGAAGGAGGAGAAAACGUGGAACCAAGAAAGGACUCGGUUGUGACCGGAAGAGGAGACUCUUCUUCCUUUGCCGCCGCUUCCAGACUCCGUCCAGACGUGGCUGACCCUCUCUUGGGUCGGGCCGUCCCGAAUCCACAACUUCAGAGUCACGACCGUGGAUGGUACGGCUCCUUCCGUCACUCAUCUCGCCUCGACACGUCGUCACCAUGAAUAGCCAUCGAUGUUCUCCUCCCCUAGCCUUGAUCGACUGCCGCCGCUGGAAGAACAAAAGGGAGUAGCUAAUUUAGGGAUUUCAAACCUCUCUUCCCUUUUCUUUAUUGUGUUAUGCAUGAUAUGGGUAACGGUGUGUUACCCCUCUUAAGCCUUUUUUUCAUUUACUUAUUUUUCUUUAAAAAAAUAAUAGUAAAAACAUUUUUCUAUUUAUUCAUUAUGUGUUUAUUUGUUUCUUUAUCUUUUGUUGUUAUAUUAAGGAAAUGAUUUUAUCCACCUAAGUUGUUGUUUAUUAAGUUUCACCAGUAAUUCACAUAAAUUUAGUAUAAAAAUUGAGUUUUUUUAUAUAUAACAAUAUAUUUAAAACUAAAAGUUUUGUAUCUUUAACAAAUAAAAUUAUUUCAAUGAGAAUGUAAUAAUGAUGUUAUGACUUGUAUUGUAUGUUGCUUCUUAAUGUGAGUCGAGAAUCAUCGCAGUCACUUGUAUUGUCUCUGUUAUUUAUUGAAGUAAGAAGAUGGUUAACGACCAAUAUUGACUCUUCACUUAUUUAUUCUUUCUUUAAAAUAUUUAAGCAAAAAUGUUUUAAAUAUUAUUUUGGGAUUCAAUAGUGAGGUUACAAUUCGUAUUGCAUCUUUCUCCACGCUUCGAGUCGAUAUUCGGUCGCGAUCACUUGUACUGCUUCUGCUAUCUAUUAAAGUGAGAAAAGGGUAAGUAGUCAAUGUUAACUCCUUGUCUAUUAGUUCCACUUUAAUUAAAUUCAAACAAUUUCAAACCAUUUUUAAAAUCUAAGUUACCUAAUUUUAAACUAGAACUACGUAAUUUUGAUUUUUCUAUUGCACCUAAGGAUACAUAGGAGCAAUUUGAAUUUGUCAGACACAAAAAAAUAAAUUUUUUUUUGGGUUUCCCACAGGUAUCCUCGCACUGGAGGCAAUCAUGUCCGAGCCGAUAACAUCCAAGUUACAUGGGGCUAACUCUCCUAGAGGACAUUUUUUCCACCCACAAGACUCGAACCCGAUACCUUGCUUAAGAGGAAUCAAGCAUGUACCACUUGAACCAAUAUCCGUUGGUAUAAGAAAUAUAUUUUGUUUUAAGUAGUUUAAUAUUAAUAAAUUCAAGGUAUUCAAUUUAUACAAUUAGUUAGAGUACCGUUUCAUUACGGACGAACAAGGUGCUAGUACCUUCCCCAAUUUGUAAUUGACUCUCGAAC
rnacentral:lncRNA from 1 species